UCUAGAUGUUGCCGCCGGCCUCUGUCUCGCCGGAGUCCCGAUUGUUCGUUCCCCCAUGUCUGUUGCGCGCAGACGCCAUGGUGAUGCAUGCAGCAGCCGCGCCUCCUUCCGCCCCGGCUAUGCCACCCCCUCCUAGCCAGUCACUCCAGCGACGACGCGGCGGCGGCCGGGUCCAGACAGUAUGGCGCGGCGGUGUCCAAAUCCAGGGCGGCGAAGAUACACAGCAUUUCCCGCCGGACCAAGCAGCUAGCUGCUUCAGAGUUGAAGUCGUCUUCCAGCAGCGACGCCCUGCUACAGCCUCGACAGCAGAACCUCGGCACCUCCCCCGCGAGCACCGCCCAAGGAAGCCACAACCCUCGCAUGUGACCCCGUUUACCAGCACACGUCCCCGAGGUCGAUGAUGUUCCCCGAUGUGCUGCCUCACGGCGGCGCGGAUGGCUAGAGCGCGCAGGUCGUCCGCCGGUUUGGACGAUGUUGUCUCAUGUUUCUGCCUCAUGUGGUUCAAGGGGGCGCUCCUCCUAGGCAGGCAGACGGCUUCAACAACCAGCGAUGGACAAGCCAGCACGGAAGAGGCGGGAGUGGUGAUGCUGCUGCCGAAGCAAUUCUGCAGCUCGCUCACAACACAGAUGUGCGUCACAUGUGCCAUAUGCGGUCACAUACGCAUCCCGCUCACAACGGAAGAGGGAUGUCACAUGCUGCUAUGCCAAAAUACAGGAUGCUGAUAGCUGCGGUGAUGUGUUCGAUUUGUCUGUAGGAAUAUCUGCGUUAUAGUGUGUUGGAUAUUUCUCUUGUUUCGCCUGCCAUCCAGAUUUAGUUAUUCAGCAAACUUGAAUGUUUAUGUGUUCACUAUUCAGUACUACGACUUCACUGUUUAAAUUGAA